CCAUUCCCACAUUGUACUGCUCAUUGCUCCCUGGAGCUCCUGUUGGUCUGAGAUGAGAAGGACCGACAUUCAUGAAACUCCUAUGGGUCCCCAGGGAGGCCAAUUUACAUAGAAGUGAGUUUGCGGUUGCCUCACAUUUAAGGGUGAUGCUUUUUUCUUUCUUACCUUUUCUUCUACUCUUCAAUAUUGGUGAGUAUAUGAACUCUAUAUUAAGGGUCAUAAUUUGAUUGUCCUAUGCCUGAAUCCAUGUCACAAUUCCUUAGGCUUUUAAUAGGUUUUCUUGUGCACCUUAUUGGUAUGCCUGAUGGAAUGGAGGACAGAGUGUACCUGGGGAUCGACUGGUCUGAGCAUGGGGGGUGUCCGAGCAGGCUGAACUCCACUAAUGCUGAAGGACUCCGACCUUGGGGGCAGAUUGGGGUCAGAUAUCCUGUUGGCAACCUUGUGAGGCAUGGCGGGGGAACUUUGCCGGUUGAGCCUUGACCGUUCUUCUACCUACAAGCCAAAAAAAAGACAGCCUCAAUGUAUAGAAGUAGAUUCACAUUGUAGCAAGGAUUUUCUGUAGUCACCUGCACAGCCAUUUGAAUCCUCUGAUCAACUGGUUUUAAGAAGCCAAAACUCCCUAUUUCUGCUCUGCAUCAAGAAUUUGCAAAGAGCAAACACUAGCAACAACAACAAAAAUGUAGAACACCCACGCCAUCACUCUUUUAUUACCCAUUACCCAGUUAGCAGGGAAUUUGUGACCUGCUAAGAGUUUUUCUUGCAUUGAUUGUGAUGUUGUAUUACUGAUUGGUCAUAAUGUCAUGGGGUCAGUGAGGGAGACAGUUUGCACUCUAGACAAUCAAAGGGAAUGGUAGCAUGCAUUUAGAUGGCUUGGGGAACAUAGAAAAUUGCUUUGGGUUGACUCAUGGGACAUGAGAGGAAAAAUAAGAGGAUGAAGCUGAGAACAUGCACCCUCCGUUUCUUCACGUGUCCUACUGAUAGGCAACUGGGUGUUCCAGGCUGCCUAAUUAAUGAGCGUGGCCUGUUUUAAAUAGACUUCCUGUGUCACUUUCUUUUUCUCUCUUUAAGGGUCUUUCUUUCCAGUUGUCUUUCCUGCUUCCUCAAAUACAAUGGCCCCCAUCAUUCUUUCAUGCCCAGCUUGGACUCCACUGUCUCACUCUCCCCUUUCUUCCUUCCUGUUUCUACACAUGUGGUGUUCAUUCUUGCUUCCCCUCUUAUUCUCUUCCCCGCUAACCCUGCUUCUCUCAGGCUAUUUCAUUUCCUUGUCAUUCCCUUUCUUCCAGAGUCUCUUUCAGCCCAAAGCAGGUAACAGAUCCCAAGUGCUUCAUGGGCAAUGCUCACAGAACUAGUGAAUGCUCUUUUUAAACAGGUAAUCAUUACCCUUAGUACCUAUUUACAGCAGACUGUCGUGGAGGACAAUUUUAAAGAGGAAUUUAGAUAAACAAGAUGCGUACUAUAAGAUACAGCUUAAGAUCUUAGACGACUUUAAAAAUUCUGUGACUUUUCUUCCAGACCUACCGUGUCCUUUCCUUGAUUUCUUCAGGACCAGUUUGACUGUUGUGCUUCCCAAAGCCACCAGGACAAUGCACCCCUUCUCCCCACACGGAUGGCCUUAAUUCUUUUCUGCUGACUCACUGUCUGAGCAUUUUAAGAGCCCCCAUGCAUGUGUUCAAUAUUCAUGUCUAUUUGCAUAUUUUUUAUGUGGCAGCUAAAAAUCUUUAUUCAUUUUACUGCCUGAUUUGACAUAAAAAUUUGAAAGAGCUAUUUUCCCUCAUCCUCCCUAUCCAAUUUUGAAUUUUUCUAGAGGCAGACUCAAUCAGAUAUACAAAGUAAGUCUGUUUUUAAACUUAUAUUAAUCUCACAUAUUUUAACACAAUAAGAUGAGCUACAGAAUGAAAAACAGCCCUCUUGCCUCUACUGAGGAGUAAUUUGGACAUCUAUUCCCCCACCAUGGCUGUGCAGGGUACAUACAAUUGGCAUCUAGUUGACUUCGGUUUUGAAAUCCCAUGCCCCAGAAGCUUACCACACGCCAAAUAAGAUUUGCUGCAAAAAGCCAGGAAUAUAAACCAGAACAUGUAUACUUUGUGUGUGCAUGUGUGCAAAGUAUUACAUCAGCAAUAGUUAUUUGGCUAUUGCACUGAGCAAAAGAACAAAGCCAGCUUUGAGAUAAGACCACAAAGAAGAAAAAGUCCCAUAAAGACAGCAAUAGAUAACAGAUCAAGGCAUGCAAUAGAUCACUUUUUCAAAUGCCAAAUUCUUUGAAAGAAGGUUAAUGUUUCUAGACCACUGGAAUUGGUCAGAUAUUAUCCAUUUUCUUAUUUUCAGAGUAAAUCAUUAAUAGAUAAAUCAUACACAAGCAUCCUUCAGUGUCUGAACCCUCACUAUCCAAACCAACUACUUGUCACCCAAAAUUCAGGAACCAAAUAUAUGCCGAGUGAGGAAUCCUUGUAAUUAUUAGUUUGGGCUCUAAAAUACACAGAUGGCUUUAAAUAUACAUUAAGGGACAGUAUAUUAAAAACAGUAGUAGAAAAGUUUGCCCCCGAAAACUCUAUCUUGAGCAAAGAAACCAUUUUUGAGAUAAAGAAUUCUUUUGGUAAGUAUCAGCAUCAAGGCUCCAGUCAAAGCAUCCCUGCUGCUAACAGGAUCACAGGCCACAUGGGCCCUAAAGCUAUCAUUAGAAAUGAACAGGGCAGAAAUUAGGGUACUGGUUUUCAUAGGCAAUUAAUGGAUUUUAUUAGUCAUGUAUAGAUGUUGCUAAUGUACUUCUAGUAAAAAUUUCUUAUGCUUUCUAUCAGUUAGUUUGCAUAGUAAAUUCUAUCAUUAGUAUAUUUCAGCCUAUACCAUUUUAAAAAUAUAUGGCAUAAUUGUUACACUUUGAAAAUUAUUUCAGGAAGGCUCCAAUGUACUGAAAUUUCCUGGGUUGAAGUUUGUCCAAAGAAAACUGAAAAUCUAAGAAAAGGGCAUAACAAUGUGGCAUCUCCUUACAUACUUUGUCUCAAGAAAACCUAGUCCUAAAGUCUUUAGGAAGAUAAGGCUGCCCAAGUGUCUUUACACUGCAGCAUCACCUUAAGAAUUGGAGCAAAGGAUCAAAUCAAACAUUGGAAGUGGCACUUCUCCUAAAAACAGCUUCAGAAAGACAGACAGAAAGUUGGAUAGGGUAUCUAAGCAGGCCCUUUUCAUUGUUUUCAUACUAGACAAAGGCCUGUCCCUGCUUUAUCACAACUUAUGUCUACUAACUGAACGGGAGAUAGAGACGUGGGUGAGACAAA